rnacentral:rRNA from 1 species
AGAGUUUGAUCCUGGCUCNNAUUGAACGCUGGCGGCAUGCUUUACACAUGCAAGUCGAACGGUAACAGGCCGCAAGGUGCUGACGAGUGGCGAACGGGUGAGUAAUGUAUCGGAACGUGCCCAGUCGUGGGGGAUAACGCAGCGAAAGCUGCGCUAAUACCGCAUACGAUCUAUGGAUGAAAGCGGGGGACCGUAAGGCCUCGCGCGAUUGGAGCGGCCGAUAUCAGAUUAGGUAGUUGGUGGGGUAAAGGCUCACCAAGCCAACGAUCUGUAGCUGGUCUGAGAGGACGACCAGCCACACUGGGACUGAGACACGGCCCAGACUCCUACGGGAGGCAGCAGUGGGGAAUUUUGGACAAUGGGGGCAACCCUGAUCCAGCCAUUCCGCGUGAGUGAAGAAGGCCUUCGGGUUGUAAAGCUCUUUUGUUCGGGAAGAAACGGUUUUGGUUAAUAACCAAGACUACUGACGGUACCGGAAGAAUAAGGACCGGCUAACUACGUGCCAGCCGCCGCGGUAAUUC